GAUGAACGCUGGCGGCGUGCCUAAUACAUGCAAGUCGAGCGAACAGAUAAGGAGCUUGCUCCUUUGACGUUAGCGGCGGACGGGUGAGUUACACGUGGAUAACCUACCUAUAAGACUGGGAUAACUUCGGGAACCGGAGCUAAUACCGGAUAACAUAUUGAACCGCAUGGUUCAAUAGUGAAAGGCGGCUUUGCUGUCACUUAUAGAUGGAUCCGCGCCGUAUUAGCUAGUUGGUAAGGUAACGGCUUACCAAGGCAACGAUACGUAGCCGACCUGAGAGGGUGAUCGGCCACACUGGAACUGAGACACGGUCCAGACUCCUACGGGAGGCAGCAGUAGGGAAUCUUCCGCAAUGGGCGAAAGCCUGACGGAGCAACGCCGCGUGAGUGAUGAAGGUCUUCGGAUCGUAAAACUCUGUUAUCAGGGAAGAACAAAUGUGUAAGUAACUGUGCACAUCUUGACGGUACCUGAUCAGAAAGCCACGGCUAACUACGUG
rnacentral:rRNA from 1 species